rnacentral:rRNA from 1 species
GAUCCUGGCUCAGGAUGAACGCUGGCGGCGUGCCUAACACAUGCAAGUCGAACGGAGAUUACGGACGGAAGUUUUCGGAUGGAAGACUGUAAUUCUUAGUGGCGGACGGGUGAGUAACGCGUGGGCAACCUGCCCUAUACAGGGGGAUAGCAGCUGGAAACGGCUGGUAAGACCGCAUAAGUCGGUUAAAUCGCAUGAUUUGAUCGGGAAAUGAGCAAUCAGGUAUAGGAUGGGCCCGCGUCCGAUUAG